rnacentral:lncRNA from 1 species
CACCGAGCAGAGGGUCCUCGGGGACGCCCGGGGCGGAGUCAGCCCAGGCACCUCUCCUUUCCCCUGUGCCGGCCAUCCUAACUCACAGGGGCCACUAGGCAGAGCACAGAAGGGAGAGACCAGAAACAUACACAUGAACACAUGAACAUCUCUUGCCACGUGACUCCCUGCGCCACCUGGGAACUCUGCCCCCAAGAAGGUCAUCACCAGUUAUGGGCCCCUGAACCUGCAGAAUGAAGAUAACUCUUGGGAAGUUUAGAAAUCGUCUCCCAGACAUGUAACAAGGAGUUGCUGAGCUGGUGGUGCUGAGUCUUCUUUGCCAUGGAUUUCACCUUCAGAUAUGGUUUUGUUUUAUAGGCUGGCCUAAAACUGGAUAUCCUCUUGCCUCAGCCUCUGGAGUGCAAAGAUUACCAGCAUACAGUGCCAUGCUUGAAGCUGUAACCUCCAUAGAUUUCAAGGGUAUGAAAGGUCCUGAGACUACACUGUUGGAACGACUGCAUCACACCACUCUGCGCUCCCAGAGGUAGACAGGAGGGAGAAGCAUCUUUCCACUUUAUCCACGUUACCCAUUGUUGUUACUGAUUUAUUUUUAAAUCCAACUUGGCUUCUCCCCUGAAAACUGUUGAGAAGUAAAGAAAACUGACCAUAGCUUCCUGAAGUCAAAGCACCUAAAACAAAGAGAAGGCCAUGGAAGUGAGUAAGGGGCUUCUCCAAGACUGCAAGGUCACCCAAGGUCCCUACCGUCCAUGCUGCUGAGAAGCUGCCAGUUUCUUCUUUGCUUGGUUGGUCUCACAACCAACCACCCACUCCCACCCACUAUACCUCAACACCCAACCUGGAGAGGUGUUGUUCUCUGGGUCCUGAAAACACUAAGGGAAGCUGGGAGUAGGGGGCACAUGCCUGUAAUCCCACCACUUGGGAGGCUGAGGCAGGAAGAUGGUGAGUUCCAGGCCUGGAUUGCAUAGAAAGACUAUGUCUCAAAACACACACACACACACACACAUGGGGACUCACUACGGCUUUGGACUGACCCACCCCCGACCUCUCUGGGAUGAUGGCGCAGGGAAGAGCACCCUCAGUCUGUGGUACACUAGCCCCUGUUCUUGGGUUGGGGCUCAGAUGAAAAGCGAAGGUCACUUUUCUAGGCCUGAAGAGGAAAUGUAAAUCUCUCCCAGCCCACGUGGCAGAAGCUGCCAGAAGGCCAUUGCCCUGUUAGUAAACAGGGCUGCCUGGGCCAUCUUUCUCUUUUGUAAUAACCUGCAGGGCACCUAUUGAUUGCACGUGCUGGUCCCUCAUAAGUGAGGACAGGGCUGUCUUCCGGUUGCUCUGGAGCUGUGAGGGUGCCUAAAUUGGCUGACUAAUACUGCAUGCUCAUGGAGCACAGUGUCCUGUGCCACCUAAACAUGAAGAAUAUGUAUCAUCAGGCGCCGUGAGAGUGCAGGCCCCAACUCCAGCGGCUUCAAGGCUUCCGGGCGUGCUGCAGACUGCAAUUAGGCAGUUUGCUUGCCUCCUCCCGAGAGGAAAGAACACUGAUGUGGCUCCUGCUGCAGCCUGAGCUACUUUAAGAUGGAGGGAGCGGCAGGUCUUGGAGGGUGGGCAAUGGGCCAGCUCCUCACCUCAGCUACCCCCUCAGCAGGAAUGGCAGCCAGCAAAUAGAAACCAACCCACAUCUUUUAGCCUGUGGUGGACAGAGUUAUGACUCAAAAGACACGUUCAAAACCCCCACUUCGGCCACUUUUGGCUGUGUGAUAUUAGUGGCUUAACCUCUCUGAGCCUCAGCAUCUCAUCUGGAAAGUUGAGAAAAUAAUAUUUCCUUAAUUGUUCAUGUGGUUAGGCCUGCCUGGAACCCAGUAUCCUCUCAUAAAUACCGGCACUGAGUCAAAAGCAGCUGAACACAGCAGUAGGUACCGGACUGAAACUACUUUUCCUUUCCACCCCUGAAAUCUGGCACCAGGAACUUUUCAGUGCUAUUGCCAGGCAAUGCCUUGCUAUCUAAGAAGUGAGGCCAGGAAACUCCUGGCUUGAUAAAUUGGAAUUAUCUCUCCCAUCCCUUUCAUCUUUCUGUGCCCCUCCUGACCUAGCUUCUGAAUUUAACAUUGAUUCCACAGGGAAUGUCACUAAAAUGUAUCGUGAACACAGAGAAGCAUGGCACCAUAGCUUACCCUUCUAAAAGAAAACCUUGGCACCCGCAGGCCCACCCUGGGCAGAGCCUUCAGAGCGUCUCUAACUCUGGCCCUGGACAAUGGGCUCUAUGAGUAGCACUGUCCUUGCAGCUCACUUGUGGCUCCUUUGUUGAUGUUGCCACAAUCAAAGCCGAUGAAAGGACGGUGUGAAGAGCCAUAUUUCCAUAUUUUCCUCCUGGUCCUGGAAAUGACAUCUACUGCCUUGGGACGGAGGGUACAGUGGGUGAAUGGUGCCCCCCAAAUAUAUGAUCACACGGGGACCCUGUGAGUGUGAUCUUCUUUGGGCAAAGGGUCUUUACAGAUGUGAUUAAAUCAGCAUCUUGAGCUGCCAUUGUUCUAAAUUACCUGGGGUGGGCAGGCGGCGUAAAUGGAGUGACAAGGGUCCCUUGAGACAGAAGAGGGACUGGCACAGAGAGAAGCUCAGGAGAAGAUGAUGGAGAUGCAGCCUGGAGUGAAGCAGCCCCAGUCAAGGCUUCCUGGGCCAUCAGGAGCGGGGGGGGGGGGGGCAGAGGAAGACUGUCUGGAGAGCCUUUGGAAGGAGGGAGUGUGGCCCUGCUGACACCUGGGUUUGGGACUCUGGCUUCUACAAUUGGGAGAGGAUGAAUUUCUAUUACUUUAGGCUACUGCUGAGGCUUAGAUACGGUUUUUCUCCAAAAGCUCAUGUGCCCGAGACUUGGUCCCUGAUGUCCUGGUAUUGAGGUGUUGAUGACUUUCAGAAGGGUGAUUAGCCAGGGGCAGCACCCUCAGAAAGACCGGCUUGGUUACCCUCAUAGGGGAUUGAUAAAAACGAAUGUGGCUUUCUUUUUUGUUGUUGUUUUUUUGAGACAGGAACUCACUAUGUAGUUCAGGCUGGUCUAGACUCACUAUGUAGCCCAUGCUGGCUUCAAACUCAUGGCAAUCCUCCUGCCUCAGCCUCCUGAGUGCUGGCAUUACGGGGAUGCACCACUAUGCCUGGCUUCUUCUCUCAGCAUAUGACCUCUCCUGCCUGUGCUGCUGCCCUGUGAUGCCAUCUGCCCAGAAGCUGAGGCUACACAAUGCCACACACUUGGACCUCCAGAACUGUAAGCUAAAUAAACCUCCUUAUUUUCUUUAUGAAGGAAGGUAUCUUAUGAUACGAACAAGGUAUCUUGUUAUAGCAACACACAGUGGACUGAGAGCCACCAAGCUUGUGGUCGUCUGUGAUGGCGGCUCUACUCCAGCAUGCUCCUGGGGUGGGACACAGCUCAAGGUCAUCUUCCACGGGUGAUGUUUUCCCUGUCUGUGGCAGGACUUACCUGAACAACAGCCUCAGCUGGCCUGGCCUGCAAUCCAGGAGCCGCAGACAACCAGAUAGGAGUGUGGCUGAGGAUCUGCCUGGGACAGAGCCUUCUGAAAUGCUGGAAACAGGCUCCAUCUUAGAACUAGACAGACUGAUGUUGAAAUCCCAACACUGACUGACUCUGAGGCCUCUCUGCCUUUCAAGUCCCUCAUCAAUAAAGCGAGGAAAUAAUGUUUACCUUGUAGGCAAGAGCAGGUCCAGCAUCCAAAGCUUACAGAAUUUGGGUGACACUUUAAAAGAGAAAGAAUACAACGAUUUAAAUCCAAAGUUAGGGAAGGAGUCUUGGGAGGCCCUGUAUAAGUUCGGGCCCCUGAGGUGUAAGUCAGGCCCACUCUGUUCAUUGGUGCUCAGAGAAUCACAGGUGAAAACAGGGAGCACAAGGCAGAGCCUGGAUCCUGCUGAGAGCUCUGUAAGAGACAAAAGUUGUCAGCUGGGCGUGGUGGUGCACGCCUGUAAUUCCAGCGCUUGGGCGGCUGAGGCAGGAGGAUCACUUCAAGUGAGUUCUCUGUCUCCAAAAAAAAAAGAAAAGAAAAGAAAAAGAAAGUAUGGAGAUAUGUGUGGAACACAGAAGAAACUCUGAAGGAUACAUUCCAUAGAGACUGCAGUUGUUGCUCUCUUGUCUCUUUUCCCUUCCUUUUGGUAACAGGAAACUGACUUCUAGGACGAUGGCUGUGUGCUCAGCUAAAGCCACCUGUCCCAGCUUCUCUCACAGCUGGGUGUAGCCAUGAGACUAAAUUUUGGCCAAGGAAGUAUAAACAAAGCGUGAUGGCUGAAAUCCAGCUUCCCCAGAGUUCACAGAGGAAGCGCUCACCUCGUGCUCAGAGUGUGGCCCUAACGGAAAGAGGGUCCCUGAGGACAUUAACCGAGGGGAUGGGGGACUCACAUCCCACAUGAAUAAUGGCCUAAUGAAAAGGGGAAAUUAAGACGCGCACGCGCACGGAGAGCGCUGCGUGAAGAUGGGGCAGAGACCAGCAGCUACUUCUACAAAUCCAGGGACCUCAAAGGCUGUCGCAGAAGUCAGGAGAGGCAGCAGUGCUCAGAAGGCACCAAUCCUGGGUUGCCAGCCUCCAGACUGAGAGAAGGGCGACAGUUUCUGUCAU